UAUGUGAUCGUCUCUCGCAUAUCAAUAAGCGGAGGAAAAGAAACUAACAAGGAUUCCCCCUAGUAACGGCGAGUGAAGCGGGAAGAGCUCAAAUUUGAAAUCUUAAAGGGUUUCCCUUUACGAAUUGUAGUUUAAAGAAGUGUUUUCUGCUGAGGUUUUGGUAAAAGUUCUUUGGAAUAGGGACAUCAUAGAGGGUGAGAAUCCCGUAUUUGACCUUUACUUUCAACUUUGUGAUACACUUUCAAAGAGUCGGAUUGUUUGGGAAUGCAGUCCAAAAUGGGUGGUAAAUUUCAUCUAAAGCUAAAUAUUGGCGAGAGACCGAUAGCGAACAAGUACCGUGAGGGAAAGAUGAAAAGAACUUUGAAAGAGAGAGUUAAACAGUACGUGAAAUUGUCAAAAGGGAAGCGUUUGACACCAGUGUUGUUUUUCUGAAAAUCAAUUAAAGAACUGUUUAUGCUAAGCUGUUUAGACUUUAUCAGCUAACUGUUUAGUUUUGAGCUUUUCUUUAAUGCACUUUUCAGUUAACAAGUCAACAUCAAUUUCUUUUGCUGUAAAAAAGCUUGAGGAAGGUGGCUUGAGAUUCGUCUUAAGUGUUUAUAGCCUCUUGCCUAUGCAGUCGGAGAGAUUGAGGUCUGCAGCGUAGAUCCUUCGGGGCUAAAUGCAUUUGUGCUAAGUUAUAAGCAUUUUAUAGACAACUUGUCGACUAUGAUUUGUCUUGUAGCUUACUCGCUUAUGUUAUUUUACCUACGCUUAGGAUGUUGAGUAGCGACAUACGCAC
rnacentral:rRNA from 1 species